rnacentral:rRNA from 1 species
UACGUAGGGGGCUAGCGUUAUCCGGAAUUACUGGGCGUAAAGGGUGCGUAGGUGGUUUCUUGAGUCAGAGGUGAAAGGCUACGGCUCAACCGUAGUAAGCCUUUGAAACUGGGGAACUUGAGUGCAGGAGAGGAGAGUGGAAUUCCUAGUGUAGCGGUGAAAUGCGUAGAUAUUAGGAGGAACCCCAGUUGCGAAGGCGGCUCUCUGGACUGUAACUGACACUGAGGCACGAAAGCGUGGGGAGCAAACAGG